rfam:Cariama cristata contig104121, whole genome shotgun sequence.
CCAAAGGCUUUUCUCAGAGCCACAAAGAAAACUAUCCAAGUUAGGU